UCUCUCUCUCUCUCUCUCUCUCUCUCUCUCUCUCGACGGCACAGAGAUCUCGAUCAGUGAUGCCCUUGCCCCAAACAAGUCUUCACUUCUAAUCAAUCACCGGUUCUGUCUUCAAUUUCUGGAUUUUCGACUUUUGAAGAUUACCGAAGCAAGUUUAUCUUGAAAACAUCAUGGCUAUUGAUGCUGUUGUGUCGGAAUCAGCCCAUGUGUCUGUUGAGAAUGUGAAGAAAGAGAGCAGUGCGAAUGGGCAUGUUGGUGAAAAUGAAUCCGGUCCUCACCGCACCUGAGGCGCGUCUAGGCACAGGCCUCAGCGCCUUAU
rnacentral:lncRNA from 1 species